GAUGAACGCUGGCGGCGUGCUUAACACAUGCAAGUCGAACGAAGCAUGGUGGACGGAGUUUUUCGGAAUGAAGGAAAUCAUGACUUAGUGGCGGACGGGUGAGUAACGCGUGGGUAACCUGCCUUAUACAGGGGGAUAACAGUUAGAAAUGACAGCUAAUACCGCAUAAGCACACAGUAUCGCAUGAUACGGUGUGAAAAACCCUGGUGGUAUAAGAUGGGCCCGCGUCUGAUUAGCUAGUUGGUAGGGUAAUGGCCUACCAAGGCGACGAUCAGUAGCCGGCUUGAGAGAGUGGACGGCCACAUUGGGACUGAGACACGGCCCAAACUCCUACGGGUGGCAG
rnacentral:rRNA from 1 species